rnacentral:rRNA from 1 species
CAGCGCCGCGGUAAUACGUAGGUCCCGAGCGUUGUCCGGAUUUAUUGGACGUAAAGCGAGCGCAGGCGGUUAGAUAAGUCUGAAGUUAAAGGCUGUGGCUUAACCAUAGUACGCUUUGGAAACUGUUUAACUUGAGUGCAAGAGGGGAGAGUGGAAUUCCAUGUGUAGCGGUGAAAUGCGUAGAUAUAUGGAGGAACACCGGAGGCGAAAGCGGCUCUCUGGCUUGUAACUGACGCUGAGGCUCGAAAGCGUGGGGAGCAAACAGGAUUAGAUACCCGCGUAGUCCCUGUCUCUUAUACAC